GCGUAACGCGUAUGCAAUCUGCCUUGUACAGAGGGAUAGCCCAGAGAAAUUUGGAUUAAUACCUUAUAGUGUUAUUGAAUGGCAUCAUUUAAUAAUUAAAGUUCCAGCGGUACAAGAUGAGCAUGCGUCCUAUUAGCUAGUUGGUGUGGUAACGGCAUACCAAGGCUACGAUAGGUAGGGGUCCUGAGAGGGAGAUCCCCCACACUGGUACUGAGACACGGACCAGACUCCUACGGGAGGCAGCAGUGAGGAAUAUUGGACAAUGGGCGCAAGCCUGAUCCAGCCAUGCCGCGUGCAGGAAGACGCAUCUAUGGUGUGUAAACUGCUUUUGUACGGGAAGAAACACUCCCUCGUGAGGGAGCUUGACGGUACCGUAAGAAU
rnacentral:rRNA from 1 species